AAAUUGAAGAGUUUGAUCAUGGCUCAGAUUGAACGCUGGCGGCAGGCCUAACACAUGCAAGUCGAACGGUAACAGGAAGCAGCUUGCUGCUUCGCUGACGAGUGGCGGACGGGUGAGUAAUGUCUGGGAAACUGCCUGAUGGAGGGGGAUAACUACUGGAAACGGUAGCUAAUACCGCAUAAUGUCGCAGGACCAAAGAGGGGGACCUUCGGGCCUCUUGCCAUCAGAUGUGCCCAGAUGGGAUUAGCUAGUUGGUGAGGUAACGGCUCACCAAGGCGACGAUCCCUAGCUGGUCUGAGAGGAUGACCAGCCACACUGGAACUGAGACACGGUCCAGACUCCUACGGGAGGCAGCAGUGGGGAAUAUUGCACAAUGGGCGCAAGCCUGAUGCAGCCAUGCCGCGUGUAUGAAGAAGGCCUUCGGGUUGUAAAGUACUUUCAGCGGGGAGGAAGGGGAUAAGGCUAAUAACCUUGUUCAUUGACGUUACCCGCAGAAGAAGCACCGGCUAACUCCGUGCCAGCAGCCGCGGUAAUACGGAGGGUGCAAGCGUUAAUCGGAAUUACUGGGCGUAAAGCGCACGCAGGCGGUCUGUCAAGUCGGAUGUGAAAUCCCCGGGCUCAACCUGGGAACUGCAUUCGAAACUGGCAGGCUUGAGUCUUGUAGAGGGGGGUAGAAUUCCAGGUGUAGCGGUGAAAUGCGUAGAGAUCUGGAGGAAUACCGGUGGCGAAGGCGGCCCCCUGGACAAAGACUGACGCUCAGGUGCGAAAGCGUGGGGAGCAAACAGGAUUAGAUACCCUGGUAGUCCACGCCGUAAACGAUGUCUACUUGGAGGUUGUGCCCUUGAGGCGUGGCUUCCGGAGCUAACGCGUUAAGUAGACCGCCUGGGGAGUACGGCCGCAAGGUUAAAACUCAAAUGAAUUGACGGGGGCCCGCACAAGCGGUGGAGCAUGUGGUUUAAUUCGAUGCAACGCGAAGAACCUUACCUGGUCUUGACAUCCACAGAACUUUCCAGAGAUGGAUUGGUGCCUUCGGGAACUGUGAGACAGGUGCUGCAUGGCUGUCGUCAGCUCGUGUUGUGAAAUGUUGGGUUAAGUCCCGCAACGAGCGCAACCCUUAUCCUUUGUUGCCAGCGGUCCGGCCGGGAACUCAAAGGAGACUGCCAGUGAUAAACUGGAGGAAGGUGGGGAUGACGUCAAGUCAUCAUGGCCCUUACGACCAGGGCUACACACGUGCUACAAUGGCGCAUACAAAGAGAAGCGACCUCGCGAGAGCAAGCGGACCUCAUAAAGUGCGUCGUAGUCCGGACUGGAGUCUGCAACUCGACUCCAUGAAGUCGGAAUCGCUAGUAAUCGUGGAUCAGAAUGCCACGGUGAAUACGUUCCCGGGCCUUGUACACACCGCCCGUCACACCAUGGGAGUGGGUUGCAAAAGAAGUAGGUAGCUUAACCUUCGGGAGGGCGCUUACCACUUUGUGAUUCAUGACUGGGGUGAAGUCGUAACAAGGUAACCGUAGGGGAACCUGCGGUUGGAUCACCUCCUUA
rnacentral:rRNA from 2 species